rfam:Shimwellia blattae DSM 4481 = NBRC 105725, complete genome.
GUCAUACUACGGUGCAACACCUGGUAAAGUAAACGGUGGGUGACCCCCGCGGAACUUCGCGGUAAAAUAUUUAUCAAAUUGCCAUAACAGACUGGCCCGGCGCUUCUCCGGGUCGGUUUUCUUU